GUGGUCACUUUAGCAGCCACAUAUGUCAACAGUGGAAUAUACAGUGAAUAUCAGUAUGGGCUCUGUGUGAGGUAGACAUGCAAACUCAUGAAGCAUUCCAUGGUUUU